AACGAACGCUGGCGGCAUGCCUAACACAUGCAAGUCGAACGAGACCUUCGGGUCUAGUGGCGCACGGGUGCGUAACGCGUGGGAACCUGCCCUUAGGUUCGGAAUAACUCCCCGAAAGGGGUGCUAAUACCGGAUAAUGUCUUCGGACCAAAGAUUUAUCGCCUUUGGAUGGGCCCGCGUUGGAUUAGCUAGUUGGUAGGGUAAAAGCCUACCAAGGCGACGAUCCAUAGCUGGUCUGAGAGGAUGAUCAGCCACACUGGGACUGAGACACGGCCCAGACUCCUACGGGAGGCAGCAGUGGGGAAUAUUAGACAAUGGGCGAAAGCCUGAUACAGCAAUGCCGCGUGAGUGAUGAAGGCCUUAAGGUUGUAAAGCUCUUUUAACCGGGAUGAUAAUGACAGUACCGGGAGAAUAAGCUCCGGCUAACUCCGUG
rnacentral:rRNA from 1 species